CAACUUGUGCCCCCCCACCCCCCCUGCCCAAAUGUAAAGGCAGGCUUUACUCCUACAGUACCAUGUUAUUUCAGGAGCAGGGUCACCCGAAAAGGCACAGGAUAGUGUGAGAACUUUUCCUUCAUCAAUGCUGAUAUCGGAUGGGAGAGCUUCAAUUUUAGGUGGUACUCCUUCAUAAAACAGGAGAAGAAAUAGCAAGUUAGUCUGUUUCCACUAAGCCAUGCAGCAGCUUCACUCUGAGGACUACUUCAGGAUAGCAGAAGCACUAACUCUACCAAUAAUCAUAAUGCUCACCUCUCAGACCUGAUUUGAGCAUUUUACUAGUUGAACUCUCCAGUUGAGCCAUACUAGAUUUCCCCAUAAUACUGCUGGAGCUCAUCUCUACAAAGGAUUCUUUCAUGGAGGACAUGCUUUUGGCAGACAUGCUUUCAAAUUUCAUUUCAGUCAUGCUGCUACUGCUGAAACUGCUGAAUGAAGCCUCUUGUUUAGAAGAAGCCAUUUGAAACGACUGAGAAGAAAAACUUUCGUGCAUGCUUGCGUCGCCACUGGUCUUCAAUACUACCUCUUUUGGAGGUUCUUCAAUUAGAGCUGAGGAGCAUUGCAAACAUAGAAGGAAAAAGCAACAACAUCACAUUAACGAACAAAGUCAUGCAGUUCUGUCUGGUUAAUUUUACAGAAAUGAAGAGACAGCAUACAUUGCUUUCAAUGGAAAAACUGCAGUGGAAUAUAAAAUUGUUUUCAGUCAUUUGAUUCAAGAUGACAAAGUCACAAACAGUAAUUUAGAAAGGAAACAAGUAGACAAUGGAAUGUACUGGAGAAGGAUCCCCAGAAAUUUCACAGGUGAACAACACGUCUUGUCCUUCAUUGACAUUUUGAGACUUAGGCUGCAUGAUGAAUGCUGGUUCGUUGGAGCGCUCUUUAGAGAAGGUCAGAACAUACUGGCAUUUAAUAAUGCCUUCGUCAGUUUUACCCUCACAGUUCAAAUGAAGGUGUGCUGAUUCUUUCGAAGAUGUCAACUCCAGAAAUGAAUUCAAAUAUCAUGACCAAUUCUUCUAGGCUCUCAAAUGAUUCAUGAAGAUACAGGAUAUUUUGGUGCCUAGCAAUGUUUAGAAUGGAAAUUUCUUUCUUUACCAAAACUUGGUCAGCGCCCUUUACUUUGACAAACUUUGCCAGGUAAGUCUUUUUUGAAACUGCCUCAACACAGCGGUGUGCAAUGCCAAAUUGCCCGCGUCCAAGCUCUUCUGCGAUCAUAUAUUUGUCAUAGAGUUCCUUUGUAGAAUAGUGAGCUGCUUUAGCUGCUGUGACUUCUCUCGUCUCAUCAACUUCUUCAUCAUAGUUCAUUAUUCUAGUCUUAUCUUCCUUUGUUACAACUGGAUCGGUGGGUUCAGAAGGCUGACUUUGGCCAAACUUGUUUUCUGCAAUUACACGGAACUGGUAGGUGGUCUUACCAAAUAGGUUCACCACUGUGUAUCGUGUAUCACGAGCUUGUGCAACACGAAUCCAUCGCUCUGCUGUUGUAGCACGUUUCUCAACAAUGUAGUUUAUGAUCCUGCUUCC